GAGCACAGGUGGUUCUUUUGAAGUAGAUGAACAGCAGCAUUGCUCAGUACUGGAACCUGUAAUCACCAAUUCUGUUGAGUUGCCUCCUCUGCCAGAGGGCUCUCCACCACUGCCUCCUGAUUCUCCUCCUCCACCCCCACCUUUACCUCCCUCACCCCCGCCUCCACUCCCAAUGUCUCCAUCACCACCUCCUCCUCCACCGCCUCUUCCAUCACAACCACCUCCUCCUCAUAUACCACCUUCAGGCCCUCCACAAUCGUUGGUACCUCAACUGUCAGUACCAACUCAA
rnacentral:lncRNA from 1 species